CCUCUCCUUUUUAUCCUUUUUUUGUUAGCGGUUCAAAAUUCGUUAUAUUUUU
rnacentral:tRNA from 1 species